rnacentral:lncRNA from 1 species
UAAUGUAUGCGUUCCGAAUUCUCGUGUAUUUCUUCUUCUCUCACCAUAUCACACUCGUGCAUUUCCAGCUUUGAGAUACUAAUAAAAAUAUUAUUUGAGUUUAACAUGUCACUUGUGUCUUAUGUCUCCAUUACAAUGAAAAUAUCGAUAUAAGCUGGUUACAUGCUUAUUCACAUAAGAUGGGUACAUGCAAGUUUAGUUUUCGAUGAUAAACACCUCUGCCUUUUUCCAUUCAUUCCUUUAGAGUAACUGCCCUACAACACCCCCUUCCAUCUGCAAAGUGUCCCUUCCUACCCUUGGCCAACAAGAUACAAGGUAGGUGCCAUCUUUUUUGCCACCACGAGUAACGAACCCAACCUGAAAAUUUAAAAAAAUGAGGAGAAAGUGAUAGUAUUUUGUAAAGAAUAUAUAUGGUGAAAUCAGAAUCUUGUGCAACAAUUUAUCAGGCACACAUAUAUAUCAGUACUUUCUAUAAGUGAGGUGGUGAUGCUAAAGAUUGUUAAAAAUCUAUUAUUCCGAAAUAAAGAGUAAGCUAUUAGGAAGUAAAAAAUAAUGAUGCAAAACAUCCAACUUGACAUGAUAGUAGUCAAACAUCUCUUAAAUCAUCAAAUUAACAGGAAAUGGGAGUGCUCUUUUCGAGUGCCACAAUGUACGAUGUAGAAAUCAUUUGGUAACGGUUUGUCAAACCACAAACAAAAGGAACAAUAAUGUAUUCACCGUAAUGAUAAGCAGCAUAUCCUAGCAAUCUUGUUUUUGUGAAACCAGCGUUACCAUUGAUGCAACCUACAAUUAAAGAACAGUGUAGCAGUCUUAUCUCCAGCCGCAGAAGAGCAAGCAUCAAAGCUACAAAGGCCUACAACUUCCAAUGAUUUCAUCACAGACUGAGAAAGUAGUAAAGAAUGUUUACAUAUGUUGUCGCAUUGUCAUUCUGAAGUAUUUCAUUGAACAAAAUAGUACAAUACCAAAGAACAAAAACAAAUAUUGGCCCAACAACAACAAAUAGACAUUGCCUUGACCACCCUGUACAAAUAAUUUGGCAACUCAUUUUAGGAUACAGGACCCAGAAUAAAAGGAAAAAAAUUAUCUCAAUUUAGUUGCACUAUAAUUAGGUAAGGGAAUUAGUUUGGUGGAGUGGUAAUUGUGGAAACAAAAUGAAAUUGUUCAGUAUCAGAUACUGCCAAUUACAUCUCUAUCACUAAACUGGCUGGAGAUCGCUAAUUAAUCGACGAUAAGAGUUUGCCAACUGUUAAUGUGUGCAUAAACAUGGCACAACACAGAAGAAUCUAAUAAAUCGCAGCAAAACAAUAACAACAAUCACCAGCUUAAAAAAUACAAUAUGCGACAAAUAUCUCAAGUGUUUCUGAAUGUGUUUCACUACCUCCAUGUGUACCAGCUGUCUCUGUAGAAGGAAGCACACUCCUUGUGAACAAGUUGUCUCUGUAGAAAGAAGUACUUCAAAUUAAAUAGAUCCCACCAAAAGAAACAUGGACCUACAGAAAAAUGAAUAUUUUCUUGACAACCAGACUUAAACUGAAAGCAUCCAUCAACAUACCUACAACUUAACUAAACCUUAACCGAGAAACAUCAUCCAACAGGAACAAAAUUCCUACAACUUAACUAAACUGAAAGCAUCCAUCAUCAUCAUGAUGAACCGAAACAUCAUCAUCAUUGCAGUAUACUUGCCACACACCCAUAUAAUCAUCCAUGUAUCUUUUGAAUCUACAAAGAAAAUAAUAAAAUGAAGUGUUAAUAGACAAUGCACUAACAUGAUGCAAGUAGUGAUAGAGGUAGGACAUUAGUCACAUACAAAGGUUGAAGACCAUGAAAUCUUUGUUUUUUCUGCAUUACCGAGAGUAUUGCAGUUUUUGCGACUCCAUACCAAAUCUUCAAUUUUCACAGUGCCAUAUCGACAUGAUGCUAGCAAAAAGAAAGCAAAAAGGCAUGAUUAUUGACAACUGUUCAGAAGCAAUGCAUUGAGAAAUUUAAAUGGCAUUACAGCUAUGAAUUAUCUAGAUCGCUUAUAAGUAUGGCAUUAAAAAAUAUUAGCUCCUACGAUAUAGUAACUUUUUGUUAGUUACUUCAUGCUAAUGCAUGUAUACUAACAGUAAAAACUGGAGCAAUCAGACCAACACCAAAAUCCAGAUAUAUAAAGGCAAGCAUCAGCCAUCCUACACUUGCAGACCGUCAUAUCCAUUGGAACGAGUGCUCCAAAAUAUAUUAUAUGAAGCCAAGACCCAGCCAUGCAUCACAUGAGAAUCAUUCAAUUGGAUAGAAGAACAGUACCCGUAACUAAAGCAGAAUAACAAUCAAAUUCUUAGGCCAGUUUAGCAGGUGUUGAGAAUCCCUUUGUCGGCGUCUUGUGCCACAGGUUGCACUUAGCCGUCAAUGACAUCCAACAGGUACCAGCCACUGCAUAUCGGCUUAGCCUCCUCAGCCUAUCAUCGAUUACGCGCUCUCGCCCACAUCUUGGUAGCAAACGAUGACCAGUCUGCCUUUAAAACAUAUCUACAGUUUUCACUUUAUUAUGAAGUAUACUACUUCCUGCCGAGACCGUAGUGUAAGACGUGAUGAAUAUGCUGAUGAAAAAUAUUAUGAAGUGAAACACACAGCAUCAGCAAAAGCAUAGCUUGUACGACAAAGCAGCAGAGGCUUAUGACCCACUGUGUACAGACACUACCCUGGUCAGCCCCACUUUGCAAGGCAUCAUGCUAAUGACGACAUGGAUUACCAUCGGACAAAUCUAAGUGUGGGAUCAAUCUAAGGGGAUCAAGUCUGCUGCACCUGCGAUCUGCAAUGCGAUUUUGCAUGAAGUUAGUGUCUUUGGGUGGUCGGCUGGAAACAUGCCGGUGGUGGCAGCGAAUAAGACCCAUGGUGAGAUUGGCUUAAUUUGAGGAUAUGACCAGGGUAUUGAAUGCCGUUCAAGAGCCCAGGUGCGCUCCGUCAAGAAAAGAAAAAGAGACCAGUUCAUAUGUCAAAAUAUAGAUGCUCCCUUUGCUGAAAUUUAAGUAAAACAUAUUGCAUAAAAUAGCUACCGAAUUGAUGAGACAAAAAUAAUAGAAGCUUCAUUGCAGGCUUACAGGUGGUUUCAAUUAAUUACUAAAAGAAACAAAUCUUCAUGCUUUUUCAGGAGAUAAAACAAUUGCAUCUUAUAACAUGGUUUCAGUGGAUUAAUAAGCACCUUUGCAAGAACAAAGAGAACUAUCAGUAGGACAGUGAGGGUAAUUAUUAAGCACAUCCCUAUCUUUAUGUUCUAAUGAUGCUGGUAUUUUUGCAGUGCAUCUACCCAGAAACAGAUUUUGAUUGCUUUUCAAAAAUAUGGUAUCCCUAGCUGAUCAAACCAAACAGUAAUCAAAUAUUCCUGGAAAAAACUCCAUCUCUUAUAAUUAAAGUAAUUUAUUUUGAAGAAAAAGAAUAGAGCCUCGUAGCAGUUUACCACAUAGAGUGCAUUGACCAGCACCAUGAGUAAGUAGCUAGUGAAGGGGUGAGGAUCGGAACUUGUUAGGAAAAAGGUAAAUUGUGCAUAUGGGCAAACUCACAUAAUAGUAGAUUUAGUAUGAUAUUUUCUUUGUGGAGGUAUGAUAUGGAGACGCCUAGGUCCAGCUGCUAACUACAGAACAUAGCCCUUUUAUUCUGCUUUCUUAGCAAUUGAAACACAGCACCGAUCCAACAUCAAAAUAUGUACAGGAGGGCAAAAUAGAUGGAUGUUUGUGACCUACCAUGUCCAGGCCCUGUCCUACUUUCUAGGUCAUCGCGCUGGCCGUUAGAUGGAUCACGGCGGACAAACUCACCUGAAGCCAGAGGAGGAGGAGGAAGCUCCAUGGCUACUUCGUCCCGAGCAGCAGGAAGGCUGUCCACAAUACCUCCCUCCACGU